UACGUAGGGUGCGAGCGUUAAUCGGAAUUACUGGGCGUAAAGCGUGCGCAGGCGGUUUAUUAAGACAGAUGUGAAAUCCCCGGGCUCAACCUGGGAACUGCAUUUGUGACUGGUAAGCUAGAGUGUAGCAGAGGGGGGUAGAAUUCCACGUGUAGCAGUGAAAUGCGUAGAUAUGUGGAGGAAUACCGAUGGCGAAGGCAGCCCCCUGGGUUAACACUGACGCUCAUGCACGAAAGCGUGGGGAGCAAACAGG
rnacentral:rRNA from 1 species